CUCUCUUACACACGAAUCUGAAGUUUGGAAAUGCCUAGACCAGGCGGCUGUCAUGGCAGUGGAGGCCAUGGACAUGGAGGCCAUGGACAUGGAGGACAUGGACAUGGAGGCCAUGGCCAUGGUGGUUGUGGUGGCGGCGGCGGCGGUCAAGGGAAAUGUCGCAAACCUGGAGACAAGUGCAGAAGGAGGAGAAGGAAGGGCCACAAGCAUUUAAAGUGUCACAAGAAGGGGAAGGACUGUCAUGGGUCUUCCAGCAGCUCCUGCAGCAGCAGCAGCAGUGACUCUGACUAGAUUUCCGGAUGAAGCGAGUUGACAGCUGGAAACCUUUAUCCUCUUGUCUGUGUACAACAAUCUGUUGACUUUAUAGCCAAAUGAUUAUUUACAUUCACAUGUUAUGAUCUUGAAACUCAAAUGGCUUAAAAGAACAAGUUUUUGUAACACAUAUAUUGGGCUUUCCUGGGUUUUGGGGGUAUUCAAUUCUGAUCUAAUAAAUGAAUACAACAGUGAAAAGAAAGUCUGAUGGAAUCUUUCUGAAUAGCUUCAGUCGAUUGACUUUUCAACUUUUGUCAGGUAU